rnacentral:tRNA from 1 species
GCCUCAGUAGCUCAGUCGGUAGAGCACCCGACUGUAAAUCGGGCGGUCACAGGUUCGAGUCCUGUCUGAGGCG